UUGACAACUUGGCAAGGAACUCUAUUAGAAGUUUUCAGUUUUGAGAUCACCAUUUCAAUACUGCAUGACGCAAGUCAUAGAAGAUCUAUCGCCUCCGCCUAACGCCUGCGACGCUGGUAAAGAAAACGAACACCUUCUUGAAACGUGGCAGGCCAAGCUCACCUUGGAGGACCUGGACUACCAACGACGUCUCGUGGCCAAGGCCAAAGAGGCAGCGAAGGCCCGAGGGUUCCUAGACAGAGGAGACCUCCCACCUAAGGAAACACUGUGUCGCGUCUCAACGCUCCCAGCAACAAACCAUGGAUAGAGGGGAAAGCAAGAUUUCUGAGCUUCUUCAGUGAGAACAAGGUGUUGCCAUGGGACAAAGCAAUCACGUUAAAAUACCUAUGACACCUGCUGCAAGAAAUACCGGGGCCACACAAGCUGAGAAACGACGCCCGCUUACAAACUGGAGACCUACUGCAACACGCGUAUUCUUUUCGACCGCCCAGGGAGGCUCAGACCAUGGCGAAGAGCUAGAUGACGUAACAAAAAACUAAAUGGCGAGGGUCUCGGCUUCCACCCGACGGCUUCAAGAGAAGCUGUUUAUUUGUCACAUACAAGUCUAUUGUACAUAUCUGUUUUUGUGGAUGGAAAGGAACGAAGUGCGUUAGUUGACAGCGGAGCAAGCGUCAUGGUUUUUAACACAAAUGAUGUUUAGAGGGCAAAAGUAUAAGAGGGAAGACCAGUAGAAGUACACGGAUAUGAUGAAAGACGAGAUGUUUAUGACAAAUAGACUUGUAUAACAAUAUCGUGUCUCGGCAACACUGUCACUGCGCAAGCCGUGGUACUCGAUGGAGUUCCGUAUAAACUAUUUCUUUCACGUCUAGUCAUCAGUGCACUUCGCCUUAAUAUCCACUGGACAGCCGAAAUUACCACAGAAGAAAAGCGCCACGCUAUCAACGCAGCAGUUUCGCCUUCAAGGACUCCGCGGAAACCAUCGUCAUGUGAAGAUGUUAGGACACUUUACCCGGAAUUGCUGUGCCUGAAAGGAUAUCCUACAGCAAAUACGGAGUUUGAGGUUACAUUCAAGCUAAUUGAUACGACGGUGGUGAGAAAAAAUCCCUAUAUUAUGUCACGGGAGAAGAAAGUGUGACUUCAGAACGAGAUUCAAAAGAUGUUGGAUGUGCAGAUUAUCCGUCCAUCCACGUUUACGUUCGUUUCACCCAUCACCAUUGCACCAAAGGAAGAUGGAAGUCUUUGACUCUGCACGGACUACAGACAUAAUAAAUAAGCAGACUGAGCUUUUUUCGUUUCCUAUGCCAUAUAUAGAGUCUAUAAUAGAUGACACGGGUGCCUGCAGAGUUUUCUCGGGCUUUGACCUAUUUAAAGGAUUUUGACAAGUUCCGAUUUCUGAAAAGUGCAAAAAAUACUCUGCCUUCAUCACGCCCUUUGACAUCUAUGAGUAUAACCGACUUCCAUUUGGAUGGAAGAACUCACCCACUUGGUUCCAGAAAAAGAUGAACGACGUCUUGCGACCAUUUAUUGAGAAGUUUUAUAACGUCUACAUAGACGAUAUAAUAGUAAACUCCCGCAACAAUGAAGAGCACUCAAACCAUCUGGCUAGUGUACUUCAAGCACUAUGUGACACCGAGAUCAAAAUUAAUGGCAAGAAGAGUGAGUUUUUCCAAAGUAUAGUGGUGUUUCUUGGAAGAGUAUUUGACGGCCAAACCAAGACAACAAAACAGGAAUCGGUCGCACGAAUCGCAAAAAUGAAGGAGCCCUAUGACAUGCACUCUUUGCGGGUAUUUCUGGGUCUUGCAGGGCAUUUCCGGCCAUUCAUUAGAAAUUAUGCGACCAAAACUAAAUGCCUCACAAAAAUGACCAAGAAGAAUGUGCCAUUUCAGUGGACAGCAGAGUUUGAAUCUCUUUAUCACAGCCUUGUAACAAUUAUUUCAUCGAAUCUGGUCCUGACUCUUCCAGACUUCAAGUUGCCCUUUGAACUGAACACCGAUGCUUCCUAUUAUGGCACAGGCGCAGUGCUUUACCAGAGAGAUAACAACUCUCCACGGAGCCGUGAACAGAGGGUCGUCGGGUACUAUUCGUACACCUUUUCGAAAACUCAACUGAACUACACGACUACAGAGAAGGAAGCCUUGGCAUUCUUAAUGCCCGUGCGCUAUUUUAGACCUUACCUGGAUGGCAGGAGCUUAAAGCUCUUUACGGAUCACCAAGCCUUAACGUAUAUCCUUAACCUCGCAGAGCCCCUUGAAAAAAAUUGCUAGGUGGGUGAGUGAACUCCAGCAGUUUACUUUCAUGGUCCACCAUACGCUUGGAGAACACCUCAAGGACGCAGAUGCGCUUUCAAGACUUGCGGUAAUUCCUGAUCAUAAAAAUGUCAACGCAACAUUGUUGUGGGAGGGAACUUGAGAACUUAAGUUCCAUAACGGAAAGUUCACUGUCCCAGAAACAACAGUGCCUCGAAUUUGGGAGUUCUAUCACGACUCCCCACACUCAGGUGAACAUGACGGCUUUUAAAGGACAUAUCACAAGAUUCGUAAGCGUUUUCAGUGGAAACACGUGAAACUUGGCGUGCAACGGUAUGCUCAGUUUUGUCAUCAAUGUCAAGUUCACAAAGCCAAGUACCUUCAGAUAACAGACGAGAUGGAUUGAAGUCAUUUGAAGUCAUUCAUCUCGAUUUCGCAAAGCUCAAGAAGAAGGCUGCAGGAGUAAGAGGAACGCAGUCUUUCCUAGUGGCAAUGGACCAGUGCAGAAGAAUAGUGGCUGCACGGCACGGAAGAGAAGACGCUAAUAGUCUGAUCGCUCUUUUGAGUCGAGAGAUGCUCAAGAAUAUGAAAAUAGUAAUAUCAGACAAUGGGCCAGCGUUUCUCAGUCAGCGUUUGUAAGACUGCGCGAAGGAACGAGGAGUUGUAUUGCGAUGCUGCGCUCCGUACCAUCUUGCAGGAAGUGGCAUGGCUGAAAGAAUCAUUCAAGAUUCGAAGCAGUUCAUUUGAAUGUAUCCAGGUUUUUAGGGUUGAUGCAAGUGCUGCUUUGAGGCAGCUGUCGCUCAUCGCAAUUGGUCGCACACUGCGAGCAUCGGCUGUAGCCCAGAAUUUGCAGCUUUCGGAAAGGUACCAAAGCUUCCUGCUGAUCUUGAACUUUGCAUUGCAGACCGCCUGCAAUUGUGCGAAAAACGAAAAACUUCGGAAGCUUACUACCGAUACUGGAAAAGUAUGAAGAGGAACUUUGACCGUCGCCACAACACGCGGAUACCUCAGAUACAACUGAACGAUCUGGUGCUUGUCAGAAAAGGCCUUUCCUGCACAAAGCAGGUGUACAUGGGACCUUAUCGCGUGGUGCAGAUUGCAGUGCAACAUGAUGGCGUUCACAAAAGGGUUGGUUACACCAACGAUGAUGGUGUGCUAAAGUUUGUGACCAUUGGAAACGUUUUCAUGUACCGCU